AUGGGUGCUGCUGCCUUCUUCUACUACCUCUUGUUGUCCCUCUGGUUUCGGGAUGCAACUGCGGCUGGUCUUGGCUUCACAAGAAGUGAUUUCCCACGGCCACGAGAGUUCGUCUUUGGAGCUGGAACGUCGGCAUAUCAAUAUGAAGGUGCUGUUGCUGAGGAUGGCAGGAGCCCAAGCAGUUGGGACACUUUCACUCACGCAGGCAAAAUGCCUGACAAAAGCACAGGAGAUGUUGCUGCAAAUGGGUACCACAAAUACAUGGAGGAUGUCAAGCUCAUGUCUGAGACAGGCCUAGAGGCCUAUAGGUUCUCCAUCUCCUGGUCAAGGCUCAUUCCAAAUGGACGCGGAACUGUCAAUCCCAAAGGGCUAGAGUACUACAAUAACCUCAUUGAUGAGCUAGUGAAUCAUGGAAUUCAAGUCCACAUCACACUUCAUCAUCUAGACCUCCCUCAGAUUCUUCAAGACGAGUAUGGUGGAUGGUUAAGCCCCAGAAUUAUCGAAGAUUUCACAGCAUAUGCAGAUGCUUGCUUCUGGGAGUUUGGAGAUAGGGUUGCAUUUUGGACGACAGUUAAUGAGCCAAACAUCGGUAUAAUGGCCUCCUAUGAUGUUGGUAUAAUACCUCCCGGCCGUUGCUCGGAUCCAUUCGGAGCAACAAAGUGCACCGCUGGGGACUCCAGUGUGGAACCAUACAUAGCAGCUCAUAAUACCAUUAUGGCGCAUGCAUCGGUUGCCAGUUUGUACAAACAAAAAUAUCAAGACAUGCAAAAAGGAGUUGUUGGCGUAAGUAUCUACUCCUACUGGAGUUACCCACUGACAAAUUCCACUGUGGAUUUAGAUGCAACCCAGAGAUGUAAAGAUUUCUUCUUUGGCUGGAUAUUAAAUCCAUUGGUGUUUGGAGACUACCCACAAGUAAUGAAGAAGAAUGUUGGCUCUCGCCUUCCAUCCUUCACGGAAGUUCAGUCCGAACUUAUCAAGGGUUCUUUACAUUUUAUUGGAAUAAAUCACUACUAUUCUCUCUACGUGAAUGAUCGCCCUCUAGAAACAGUCAUUCGAGACUACAACACGGACAUGGCAGUUGAUUUAAGGGGUUCUAGGACAGGACCACUGGUUAGUCCGGUAAGACAAUUUAUGUCAUCAAUGUUUUUUGGCAAAGAAGUAGCUGAAAAUGCAGUUAUUUUGAGUGCCCCGCCAAAUGUCCCAAGUGACCCCAGAGGGUUGCAACUUGUACUGGAGUACCUGAAAGAAACCUAUGGGAACCUUCCCGUCUACGUCCAAGAGAAUGGUAUGGCAUCAGCCGACGACGGUCUAGAUGACGCCGAGAGGAUCGGUUUCCUGAGCAGCUACAUGGAAAGCACACUAAACGCAAUUAGGAACGGGGCCAACGUGAGAGGCUACUUCGCCUGGGCCUUCAUGGACCUGUUCGAGCUUCUGUCGGGCUACCAGUCGAGGUACGGGUUGUACCGCGUCGACUUCGCCGACGAGAGGCGGCCGCGGCAAGCCAGGCUCUCGGCUCGCUGGUACUCCGGCUUUCUCAGGCACAACGGAACCACUGCGCUCGUGUCGAGAGGGACGCAGGAGAAGCUAAGCGUCGUGUCACCCUGUGCAUUUCAAAACCGAACCGAAAAACCAUACCGAAAAUAA
rnacentral:rRNA from 1 species